GGCAAUGUGGCUUAGUUGGUUAGAGUGCAUCUCUCGUAAACAAGAUAUCCUGAGUUGUAAUCUCUGUGGUGCCU